GACGAACGCGGGGGCGUCUUAAUACAUGCAAGUGGGACGCAGGGAACCACACUGUGCUUGCACACCGUGUUUUCUUGAGUCGCGAACGGGUGAGUAACGCGUAGGUACCCUGCCUAUAAGCGGGGGAUAACUAUGGGAAACGAUAGCUAAUACCGCAUAAUAUUAAUUAUUGCAUGAUAAUUGAUUGAAAGAUGCAAGCGCAUCACUAGUAGAUGGACCUGCGUUGUAUAAGCUAGUUGGUAAGGUAAGAGCUUACCAAGGCGACGAUACAUAGCCGACCUGAGAGGGUGAUCGGCCACACUGGGACUGAGACACGGCCCAGACUCCUACGGGAGGCAGCAGUAGGGAAUCUUCGGCAAUGGACGAAAGUCUGACCGAGCAACGCCGCGUGAGUGAAGAAGGUUUUCGGAUCGUAAAGCUCUGUUGUAAGUCAAGAACGUGUGUGAGAGUGGAAAGUUCACACAGUGACGGAGCUACCAGAAAGGACGCA
rnacentral:rRNA from 1 species